AUUGAACGCUGGCGGCAUGCCUUACACAUGCAAGUCGAACGGUAACAGGUCUUCGGAUGCUGACGAGUGGCGAACGGGUGAGUAAUACAUCGGAACGUGCCCGAGAGUGGGGGAUAACGAGGCGAAAGCUUUGCUAAUACCGCAUACGAUCUCAGGAUGAAAGCAGGGGACCGCAAGGCCUUGCGCUCACGGAGCGGCCGAUGGCAGAUUAGGUAGUUGGUGGGAUAAAAGCUUACCAAGCCGACGAUCUGUAGCUGGUCUGAGAGGACGACCGGCCACACUGGGACUGAGACACGGCCCAGACUCCUGCGGGAGGCAGCAGUGGGGAAUUUUGGACAAUGGGCGCAAGCCUGAUCCAGCCAUGCCGCGUGCAGGAUGAAGGCCUUCGGGUUGUAAACUGCUUUUGUACGGAACGAAAAGACUCCUACUAAUAAAGGGGGUCCAUGACGGUACCGUAAGAAUAAGCACCGGCUAACUACGUGCCAGCCGCCGCAGUAAUAC
rnacentral:rRNA from 1 species